UACGGAAGGCAGCAGUGGGGAAUAUUGCACAAUGGGCGCAAGCCUGAUGCAGCCAUGCCGCGUGUAUGAAGAAGGCCUUCGGGUUGUAAAGUACUUUCAGUCGUGAGGAAGGUGUUAAGGUUAAUAACCUUAGCAAUUGACGUUAGCGACAGAAGAAGCACCGGCUAACUCCGUGCCAGCAGCCGCGGUAAUACGGAGGGUGCGAGCGUUAAUCGGAAUUACUGGGCGUAAAGGGCACGCAGGCGGUUAAUUAAGUUGGAUGUGAAAUCCCCGGGCUUAACCUGGGAAUGGCAUUCAAGCUGGUUAGCUAGAGUCUUGUAGAGGGGGUAGAAUUCCAUGUGUAGCGGUGAAAUGCGUAGAGAUGUGGAGGAAUCCGGUGGCGAAGGCGGCCCCUGGACAAAGGCUGACGCUCAUGUGCGAAAGCGUGGGGAGCAAACAGGGAUUAGAUACC
rnacentral:rRNA from 1 species